rnacentral:rRNA from 2 species
UGGUAACACAUGGAGCUGACUGUUACUAAUAGGUCGAGGGCAUAACCAA